rnacentral:rRNA from 1 species
GUGAGGAAUAUUGGUCAAUGGGCGGGAGCCUGAACCAGCCAAGUCGCGUGAAGGAAGAAGGAUCUAUGGUUCGUAAACUUCUUUUGCAGGGGAAUAAAGUGCAGGACGUGUCCUGUUUUGUAUGUACCCUGAGAAUAAGGAUCGGCUAACUCCGUGCCAGCAGCCGCGGUAAUACGGAGGAUCCGAGCGUUACCCGGAUUUAUUGGGUUUAAAGGGUGCGUAGGUGGUUUGAUAAGUCAGCGGUGAAAGUUUGCAGCUUAACUGUAAAAAUGCCGUUGAAACUGUCGGACUUGAGUGUAAAUGAGGUAGGCGGAAUGCGUGGUGUAGCGGUGAAAUGCAUAGAUAUCACGCAGAACUCCGAUUGCGAAGGCAGCUUACUAAGCUACAACUGACACUGAAGCACGAAAGCGUGGGGAUCAAACAGGAUUAGAUACCCGUGUAGUCC